GAGGGGCAGCAUGAUGGUAGCAAUACUAUUGAUGGCGACCGGCGGACGGGUGCGUAGCGCGUAUGCAACCUACCUUAUACAGGGGGAUAACCUUCCGAAAGGGAGACUAACACCGCAUAAUAUUUUUGAUAGGCAUCUAUUAGGGAUUAAAUGAGAAAUCAGGUAUAAGAUGGGCAUGCGUAGCAUUAGUUAGAUGGUGAGGUAACGGCUCACCAUGGCGAUGAUGCUUAGGGGUUCUGAGAGGAAGGUCCCCCACACCGGUACUGAGAUACGGACCGGACUCCUACGGGAGGCAGCAGUGAGGAAUAUUGGUCAAUGGGCGAGAGCCUGAACCAGCCAUGCCGCGUGCAGGAAGACAGUCCUAUGGAUUGUAAACUGCUUUUGCUUGAGAGUAAUAAAUAGGUUGCGACCUAUGAUGCAAGUAUCGAGCGAAUAAGGAUCGGCUAACUCCGUGCCAGCAGCCGCGGUAAUACGGAGGAUUCGAGCGUUAUCCGGAUUUAUUGGGUUUAAAGGGUGCGUAAGCGGCACGAUAAGUUUGAGGUCAAAGGCUAUUGCUUAACAAUGGUACGCCUUGAAAACUGUCGAGCUAGGAAGUAAACGGCGCAGGCGGAAUGAAUCAAGUAGCGGUGACAUGCAUAGAUAUGAUUCAGAACACCGAUCGCGAAGGCAGCUUGCGAGGAUACGAUUGACGCUGAUGCACGAAAGCGUGGGUAUCGAACAGGAUUAGAUACCCUGGUAGUCCACGCUGUAAACGAUGAUAACUAGAUGUUGGCGAUAUACAGUCAGUGUCGGAGCGAAAGUGCUAAGUUAUCCACCUGGGGAGUACGAUCGCAAGGUUGAAACUCAAAGGAAUUGACGGGGGCCCGCACAAGCGGAGGAGCAUGUGGUUUAAUUCGAUGAUACGCGAGGAACCUUACCCGAACUUGAACGUAUAGUGAAUAAUUUAAGAGAUUAGAUUAGUUAGCAAUAACGCUAUACGAGGUGCUGCAUGGUUGUCGUCAGCUCGUGCCGUGAGGUGUCAGGUUAAGUCCUAUAACGAGCGCAACCCCUACACAUAGUUACCAACACGUAAAGGUGGGGACUCUA
rnacentral:rRNA from 1 species